GGGCCCACUUUGGGCGCAUCUAUCACAUUGAAACAAUACAGAGAUCAGCUUGGCCCUUGUGCAAGACAACGUGUAUAUUUGUGAAAUGUUCCAUAUUUUU
ensembl:snRNA U6 U6 spliceosomal RNA